rnacentral:rRNA from 1 species
UAAGGAAUAUUGGUCAAUGGACGCGAGUCUGAACCAGCCAUGCCGCGUGAAGGAGGAAGGUCCUCUGGAUUGUAAACUUCUUUUAUCUGGGACGAAAACGGGAUUUUUAUCUCAAUUGACGGUACCAGAGGAAUAAGCACCGGCUAACUCCGUGCCAGCAGCCGCGGUAAUACGGAGGGUGCGAGCGUUAUCCGGAUUUACUGGGUUUAAAGGGUGCGUAGGUGGGCUUAUAAGUCAGUGGUGAAAUCUCCGAGCUUAACUUGGAAACUGCCGUUGAUACUAUAGGUCUUGAAUUAUCUGGAGGUCAGCGGAAUAUGUCAUGUAGCGGUGAAACGCUUAGAUAUGACAUAGAACACCAAUUGCGAAGGCAGCUUACUACAUAUAAAUUGACGCUGAGGCACGAAAGCGUGGGGAUCAAACA